UCAUCCAAAACUCAGAGAAAAAAAAAACCCAAAUUUUGGUACCCACCUAGCUGGUUAAUGGGUUCUCUCCAAAACUAAUGAGAACCAUCGCCAAAAAAAAAAAAACUAAUGAGAACCACAAUUUCAGAUCUCCCAACCAUGCCCAUCUGCGUUUCCUGCAAACCCUCGAUCUCAGAAUCCAUGGCAUGAGCCCCGAAUCCCCAAGUCUCUUCCGACGAAGCCCUGUCCAAUUCUGAUAAGGAGGAGCCGAUCAACGAGAAAGAGGACGAGGAGGAGCUCGAGGCUGUCGCUCGCUCCGCUAACUCCGACAACGAAGAGGACAAGUCUCAGGUUUGGCAGCCGUGCAAGAGAGAAAGGGGUGUGGAUAUAGAAAUUUGCCGGAGAUGGCGACGAGGAGCAGUGGAGCACCUCGAGUCGGAUUCCUGUCCCAUGGUACGAUCUGGGUUGGACUCUAGGGGAGUCCAAUUUUUACAAGGUCAAGUUUGCUCGGAACAUCAAGAUUGUUGAGAAUUUCGCUAUUAAGAUUCUGGGUAAAGAGAAUUCCUCAAGCACUAGAUGAUCGGCGCAUCGGCCAGCUAUCUCUCAUGUUCAAUCCAGCUUUGUUUUUGUGACGAAAGCGAAAGGGGCUUUGUAGAAAUCGGGGAAAUGGGUAGCGGAAUCUGGGUCUGGUUGGGCGGUUGAGGAUCGUGGUGAAGCUUCACCAUUGUUCUUCUUCUCCAUCCUCUUUUUCUCCUCCACCGAAACCAUGACAUUCCCAUUUCUCACUAAAAUCCUCUGCGCUCAAAUCUCUCUCUCUCUCUGUGGAUGGAAUCUUGGGCCUGUUGGACCGGCUCCUCUUCCUCAGCCGCGGCCAAACCAUUUUCAGCGGCUCGCCAGCUCAGCUUCCCUCGUACUUCGCCGACUUCGGCUGGCCCGUACUCGACUUCGAAAACAAAACCGAGUUCGCUCUGGACCUGAUCUGAGAAUUGGAAGGCUCCCCCGGCGGGACCCAAUCCCUCGUCGAGUUCAACACGUCCUGGCACAACGCUCACUACCGCUCCGCCACCGACAUACGACACAUGGUUCCUCUCCAAGAAGCCAUCUCCGCCGGCAUUUCUCGAGGCAAGCUCGUCUCCGGCGCCACCAACAACGACGCCAGCCCCAACUCCAUGGUCCCUACCUUCGCCAACCCCAUCUGGAUCGAAAUCGCCGUCCUCGCGAAACGCUCCAUGAAAAACUCGAGACGAAUGUCAGAGCUAUUCGGAAUCCGGCUCGGCGCCGUUGUGGUCACUGGGUUCAUCCUCGCCACCAUGUUCUGGAACAAGGCGUCCAAAAUUCUGUUUGCCCCAAAAGUGUACCCAUAUGAGAAUCUUCGAGUGGAGCUCAGCAGAGAACCAUAGAGGGUAUUGGGUUUCUUCUAAUUGUGUGCUAAUUCUUGUUUCAGAUGUAUUUUUCUGCAUUUCCCUUGUUUGAUAUGGCUCUAAAUAAUGUUCUGUACCCCAAAACUAUGAGCAUUGUAUGUUUUGGAUGAUACCAUCUUGGUUGUUUGAUAAUAUGCUUGGGUGAAAAAAGCUGGAGUCUUUAAAGGUGAUAUUAGUGGUUUUCUGAUGAGAUUUGGAGACAAAGAUGAAAUCUUUGAGUAGUGUAGGACUUGGUUUGAGUGUGGUUUUUGGUUGCGUAUUCUUGGCUCUAAUUGCUGAGCUUUACUACUUGUUGUGGUGGAAGAAGAGGCUGACCAACAGAGAGAUAGAAGAUGACUACAGCAGCCCAUCAAAGGAGGUGUUCUACAUGUUCUGCUGGAGAAGGACUUCCAAGAGAGGUGUUGGUGAUGGUUUCGGUGGAGGAGAAGAAGAGGAAGAGGAAGCAGACGAUUUUCAGAGAAGAUGAACAGUAAAAUGACGAAAAUAUCCUUCAAAAGUUAACUCUGUUAACGAUUUUACUGUUGCUAGGUACGGAAAUUGGGUCGGGGCCAAAACUUCAGGUACCAUUAUGAGGUUUUUUAAAGUAUAGGUAUGAAAAUUAAUAGUCUGGAAAAGUUCAGACACUGUUUGGACGAUUUUCCCUAAAAGAAAAGGGUACGUUGGGUUGCUUAAUUGCUUGCUUUUUAAUUUGGGCGUGCAGCAUGUGUCAGUGGAGGAUAAAGUGUUAGGUAUAAAGCGUGUUAGGUAUAAAACGUGUUUUGGUAGAACUAAUUAGAAAUCUGAUUAAAAAUCAAAGUUGGUGUAAUAUCUUUGCCUUUUGACGGUCAUAUAUAAUGCAUGAAUAUUCUUACUUGAGAAAUAAUCUUAUGUUUUUUAAUGCAAAGACUCAAAGUGGAGCCACGUUGAUAUAAUUAACUAUAUAUUAUCGAAGCUGUUAAGCUGCUCUUUUUUUUUAUUUUUUAUUUUUUUAUGACAAAGCUGUUAAGCUGCUUGAUUAUGGUGCAUUUUGCCAUUUUGUUAUGCUUUACUAUCAGUCCACUCCACUCCCAAGAUUUAGUAACCAACUUAUUAAUAAC